CUACGGGCCGCUGCAGUGAGGAAUAUUGCACAAUGGGGGGAACCCUGAUGCAACAACGCCGCGUGGAGGAUGACGCAUUUCGGUGUGUAAACUCCUUUUAUAUGUCAAGAAAAUGACGGUAGCAUAUGAAUAAGCACCGGCUAACUCCGUGCCAGCAGCCGCGGUAAUACGGAGGGUGCAAGCAUUACUCGGAAUCACUGGGCGUAAAGGACGCGUAGGCGGGUUGGAAAGUCAGGUGUGAAAUCCUACAGCUUAACUGUAGAACUGCACUUGAAACUUCUAAUCUAGAGUAUGGGAGGGGGAGAUGGAAUUAGUGGUGUAGGGGUAAAAUCCGUAGAUAUCACUAGGAAUACCUAAAGCGAAGGCGAUCUCCUGGAACAUUACUGACGCUAAGGCGUGAAAGCGUGGGGAGCAAACAGGAUUAGAUACCCCUGUAGUC
rnacentral:rRNA from 1 species